GUUGCCUAGGUCUCCAUUGAAAAUGCUGAUGCCGCUGCAGUUAUGGGCUAAACUUGCAGACAGCCGCUGAUUCAGAAUCGCUCUAUGUUCGUGAAGCUUGACAGGCCUGCUCUUGACGUGUUGACAGUGAGGACAAUGUUCACCCUUGUUUUUUAGUCUUUUUCUUUUUUGUAUGCAAGGGCUGAAUACUGGAAACAUCUGGGAUUCAGAAGUGUGGACAUGUGUUGGUG